rnacentral:rRNA from 1 species
GAUGAACGCUGGCGGCGUGCCUAAUACAUGCAAGUCGAGCGAACGGACGAGAAGCUUGCUUCUCUGAUGUUAGCGGCGGACGGGUGAGUAACACGUGGAUAACCUACCUAUAAGACUGGGAUAACUUCGGGAAACCGGAGCUAAUACCGGAUAAUAUUUUGAACCGCAUGGUUCAAAAGUGAAAGACGGUCUUGCUGUCACUUAUAGAUGGAUCCGCGCUGCAUUAGCUAGUUGGUAAGGUAACGGCCUACCAAGGCAACGAUGCAUAGCCGACCUGAGAGGGUGAUCAGCCACACUGGGACUGAGACACGGUCCAGACUCCUACGGGAGGCAGCAGUAGGGAAUCUUCCGCAAUGGGCGAAAGCCUGACGGAGCAACGCCGCGUGAAUGAUGAAGGUCUUCGGAUCGUAAAACUCUGUUAUUAGGGAAGAACAUAUGUGUAAGUAACUGUGCACAUCUUGACGGUACCUAAUCAGAAAGCAACGGCUAACUACGUG